rnacentral:rRNA from 1 species
GGUUAAGCGACUAAGCGUACACGGUGGAUGCCCUGGCAGUCAGAGGCGAUGAAGGACGUGCUAAUCUGCGAAAAGCGUCGGUAAGGUGAUAUGAACCGUUAUAACCGGCGAUGUCCGAAUGGGGAAACCCAGUGCAAUUCGUUGCACUAUCGUUAACUGAAUACAUAGGUUAACGAGGCGAACCGGGGGAACUGAAACAUCUAAGUACCCCGAGGAAAAGAAAUCAACCGAGAUUCCCCCAGUAGCGGCGAGCGAACGGGGAGCAGCCCAGAGUCUGAAUCAGCUUGUGUGUUAGUGGAACGGUCUGGAAAGUCCGACGGUACAGGGUGAUAGUCCCGUACACCAAAAUGCACAGGUUGUGAACUCGAAGAGUAGGGCGGGACACGUGGUAUCCUGUCUGAAUAUGGGGGGACCAUCCUCCAAGGCUAAAUACUCCUGACUGACCGAUAGUGAACCAGUACCGUGAGGGAAAGGCGAAAAGAACCCCGGCGAGGGGAGUGAAAAAGAACCUGAAACCGUGUACGUACAAGCAGUGGGAGCACCUUCGGGUGUGACUGCGUACCUUUUGUAUAAUGGGUCAGCGACUUAUAUUCUGUAGCAAGGUUAACCGUAUAGGGGAGCCGCAGGGAAACCGAGUCUUAACUGGGCGUUAAGUUGCAGGGUAUAGACCCGAAACCCGGUGAUCUAGCCAUGGGCAGGUUGAAGGUUGGGUAACACUAACUGGAGGACCGAACCGACUAAUGUUGAAAAAUUAGCGGAUGACUUGUGGCUGGGGGUGAAAGGCCAAUCAAACCGGGAGAUAGCUGGUUCUCCCCGAAAGCUAUUUAGGUAGCGCCUCGUGAAUUCAUCUUCGGGGGUAGAGCACUGUUUCGGCUAGGGGGUCAUCCCGACUUACCAACCCGAUGCAAACUACGAAUACCGAAGAAUGUUAUCACGGGAGACACACGGCGGGUGCUAACGUCCGUCGUGAAGAGGGAAACAACCCAGACCGCCAGCUAAGGUCCCAAAGUCAUGGUUAAGUGGGAAACGAUGUGGGAAGGCACAGACAGCCAGGAUGUUGGCUUAGAAGCAGCCAUCAUUUAAAGAAAGCGUAAUAGCUCACUGGUCGAGUCGGCCUGCGCGGAAGAUGUAACGGGGCUAAACCAUGCACCGAAGCUGCGGCAGCGACACUAUGUGUUGUUGGGUAGGGGAGCGUUCUGUAAGCCUGCGAAGGUGUGCUGUGAGGCAUGCUGGAGGUAUCAGAAGUGCGAAUGCUGACAUAAGUAACGAUAAAGCGGGUGAAAAGCCCGCUCGCCGGAAGACCAAGGGUUCCUGUCCAACGUUAAUCGGGGCAGGGUGAGUCGACCCCUAAGGCGAGGCCGAAAGGCGUAGUCGAUGGGAAACAGGUUAAUAUUCCUGUACUUGGUGUUACUGCGAAGGGGGGACGGAGAAGGCUAUGUUAGCCGGGCGACGGUUGUCCCGGUUUAAGCAUGUAGGCUGAUUGUCCAGGCAAAUCCGGAUAAUCAAGGCUGAGGUGUGAUGACGAGGCACUACGGUGCUGAAGUAACAAAUGCCCUGCUUCCAGGAAAAGCCUCUAAGCAUCAGGUAACAUUAAAUCGUACCCCAAACCGACACAGGUGGUCAGGUAGAGAAUACCAAGGCGCUUGAGAGAACUCGGGUGAAGGAACUAGGCAAAAUGGUGCCGUAACUUCGGGAGAAGGCACGCUGGUGUGUAGGUGAAGCCCCUGCGGGUGGAGCUGAGACCAGUCGAAGAUACCAGCUGGCUGCAACUGUUUAUUAAAAACACAGCACUGUGCAAACACGAAAGUGGACGUAUACGGUGUGACGCCUGCCCGGUGCCGGAAGGUUAAUUGAUGGGGUUAUCCGUAAGGAGAAGCUCUUGAUCGAAGCCCCGGUAAACGGCGGCCGUAACUAUAACGGUCCUAAGGUAGCGAAAUUCCUUGUCGGGUAAGUUCCGACCUGCACGAAUGGCGUAAUGAUGGCCAGGCUGUCUCCACCCGAGACUCAGUGAAAUUGAACUCGCUGUGAAGAUGCAGUGUACCCGCGGCAAGACGGAAAGACCCCGUGAACCUUUACUAUAGCUUGACACUGAACAUUGAGCCUUGAUGUGUAGGAUAGGUGGGAGGCUUUGAAGCGUGGACGCCAGUCUGCGUGGAGCCAACCUUGAAAUACCACCCUUUAAUGUUUGAUGUUCUAACGUUGGCCCCUGACCGGGGUUGCGGACAGUGUCUGGUGGGUAGUUUGACUGGGGCGGUCUCCUCCCAAAGCGUAACGGAGGAGCACGAAGGUUAGCUAAUCCUGGUCGGACAUCAGGAGGUUAGUGCAAUGGCAUAAGCUAGCUUGACUGCGAGCGUGACGGCGCGAGCAGGUGCGAAAGCAGGUCAUAGUGAUCCGGUGGUUCUGAAUGGAAGGGCCAUCGCUCAACGGAUAAAAGGUACUCCGGGGAUAACAGGCUGAUACCGCCCAAGAGUUCAUAUCGACGGCGGUGUUUGGCACCUCGAUGUCGGCUCAUCACAUCCUGGGGCUGAAGUAGGUCCCAAGGGUAUGGCUGUUCGCCAUUUAAAGUGGUACGCGAGCUGGGUUUAGAACGUCGUGAGACAGUUCGGUCCCUAUCUGCCGUGGGCGCUGGAGAAUUGAGGGGGGCUGCUCCUAGUACGAGAGGACCGGAGUGGACGCAUCACUGGUGUUCGGGUUGUCAUGCCAAUGGCACUGCCCGGUAGCUAAAUGCGGAAGAGAUAAGUGCUGAAAGCAUCUAAGCACGAAACUUGCCCCGAGAUGAGUUCUCCCUGAGACUUUAAGUCUCCUGAAGGAACGUUGAAGACGACGACGUUGAUAGGCCGGGUGUGUAAGCGCAGCGAUGCGUUGAGCUAACCGGUACUAAUGAACCGUGAGGCUUAACCUU